CACGUAGGGGGCAAGCGUUGUCCGGAUUUAUUGGGCGUAAAGAGCUCGUAGGCGGCUCAGUAAGUCGGGUGUCAAAUCCUCAGGCUCAACCUGGGGCUCCACCCGAUACUGCUGUGGCUAGAGUCCGGUAGGGGAGCGUGGAAUUCCUGGUGUAGCGGUGAAAUGCGCAGAUAUCAGGAGGAACACCAGCGGCGAAGGCGGCGCUCUGGGCCGGAACUGACGCUGAGGAGCGAAAGCGUGGGUAGCAAACAGG
rnacentral:rRNA from 1 species